CGCACAAGCGGUGGAGCAUGUGGUUUAAUUCGAAGCAACGCGAAGAACCUUACCAGGUCUCGACAUCCUUUUGAAUACACUAGAGAUAGUGUAGGCCUUCGGGACAGAAGAGACAGGUGGUGCAUGGUUGUCGUCAGCUCGUGUCGUGAGAUGUUGGGUUAAGUCCCGCAACGAGCGCAACCCUUGUCAUUAGUUACUAACAUUAAGUUGAGGACUCUAAUGAGACUGCCAGUGAUAAACUGGAGGAAGGUGGGGAUGACGUCAAAUCAUCAUGCCCCUUAUGACCUGGGCUACACACGUGCUACAAUGGUCGGUACAAAGAGUCGCGAAGCCGUGAGGCCAAGCUAAUCUCAUAAAACCGAUCUCAGUUCAGAUUGUAGUCUGCAACUCGACUACAUGAAGUCGGAAUCGCUAGUAAUCGCGAAUCAGCAUGUCGCGGUGAAUACGUUCUCGAGUCUU
rnacentral:rRNA from 1 species